rnacentral:rRNA from 1 species
UACCUGGUUGAUCCUGCCAGUAGUCAUAUGCUUGUUUUAAAGGUUAAGCCAUGCAUGUCUUAGUACAGGCGUCCUGACAGCCGAAACCGCGGAUGGCUCAAUAUACCAGUAGCAAUCCGCAAGAUUUUUAUCCCUAGUGGAUACCCGUGGCAAACCUAGAGCUAAUACGCUUUCAAGAUUCGCUACGAUCCCACUAUUUUUAAAGCCUUAUGGUAUAGUGAUCUAGCGAACAGCAAUUAUUAGAAGCCUCAGCUUUAGCUGCGGGUGAGUCUGAGUAUCGAUGCUACGCGCUAUGGUCCAUAAGUACCAGCGCUAAUCUUUGCGAGCUUCUGACCUAUCAGCCAGAUGGUAAGGUAAGUGCCUACUAUGGCUACGACGGGUAACGGGGAAUCUGGGUUCGAUUCCGGAGAGGGAGCCUGAUAAACGGCUACCACAUCCAAGGAAGGCAGCAGGCGCGGAAUUUAACCUAGUACUAGCUCUGUGAGUUAGUAACGAAAAAUCUUGAUGUGGGGUUUCCUAAACCGAGCCUCACAAUCGAAAUGAGUUUAUCAUAAAAACCCUAUUUGCGAUAAACUAUCGGAGGGCAAGCCUGGUGCCAGCAGCCGCGGUAAUUCCAGCUCCAUUAGCAUAAUCCAAUGUUGCUGCGGUUAAAGUGUUCGUAGUUGGCUUUGAACGAGAGUUUCCACCCGCUUCUUUAAAUAUAUAUUUAACCCGCGCUUUUUUUUUAAGUUCGGUUGUUGUCGUUCUUUAUUAAAAUAAAAAAAUGCGCGGAAAAUAUUGAAAAAAAUUACGCGGUGCGGAAACGAAAACCGGCGUACUUAGUUCCUCGUCGAGCUUGGUACCCGGUAAAAAUGCUCGGUACUCGGUAUCCUCUUCAUUGAGUGUACCUUGGAACCGGCACUAUUCACUUUAAUAAAAUUGGAGUGUUUAUAACAGGUCUGAGGAAGACAAUUCACGCGCUUUACUAAAAACGUCUAGCACGAUGAAAUAAGACUCGGGUUCUAAAAAUUUUGGCUUUUAAUAUUUGGAACUCCGAAGUAAUGAUUAACGAGAACUGCCGGGGAUAUUAGUAUUGCAGCGCGAGAGGUGAAAUUCUGUGACCGUUGCAAGACUGCCUACAGCGAAAGCAUUUAUCAAGAAUGUUUUUAUUAAUCACGAUCCAAAGUUAGAGGAUCGAAGGCGAUCAGAUACCGCCCUAGUUUUAACCAUAAACUAUGCUAACUAGCAAUCCGCUUUUGUUACCGUUUGCAGAGCAAACGGGAUCCCCCGGGAAACCAAAGUUUCUCAGUCCCGGGGGGAGUAUAGUUGCAAAGCUGAAACCUUAAAGGCAAUUGACGGAAGGGCANCCACCAGGAGUGGAGCCUGCGGCUCAAUUUGACUCAACACGGGAAAACUCACCAGGUCCGGACCCCGUAAGGAUUGACAGGUUGAAGGAUCUUUCUCGAUUUGGUGCAAGGUGGUGCAUGGCCGUUCUUAGUUGGUGGAGUGAUUUGUCUGGUUGAUUCCGAUAACGAACGAGAUUCUUGCCUCCUUAUUUGUGGUCAGAUCGAGUCCUAAGGCGCGGUAUAAAAUAUUUUUGCGCGACUCUUUUUUUUAUACGGUUCGUUCUUUUAAAGUUUUAUAGUUNCCUAAAUUAUAUUAAAAAAGCUAUAAUCUUUCGAGACGACCGUUUAACUUGUCGCAAAAAAAAAUACAAAGACCAAGCCUGAGGCCGUCUGACGAAAUACACCAUAUUCAAUUGGCGGUAUUGGCGGUGUCCAGCCGUAAUAAAAAGAGCAAUAACAGGUCUGUGAUGCCCUUAGAUGUCUGGGCUGCACGCGCGCCACAUUGAUGCGUGCAGCAUGCUUUCCCGUUCAGAAUUGAAGCGGCAAUCAUUUCAAACCGCUUCGCGGUUGGGAUUGCGGAUUGUAAGUUUUCCCCGUAAACGAGGAAUGCCUUGUACGCGCGGGUCGUAAAGCUCGAGCUGAAUACGUCCCUGCCCUUUGUACACACCGCCCGCUCGCUACUUCCGAUUGAGUGGCUAAGUGAGGUAAUUGAACCGUUUUUUUAAAAAGUUUUUAUAUCUUGUAACAGAAAACGGAAAGAUUCCCCAGCCUAGUCACUUAGAGGAAGUAAAGUCGUAACAAGGUUUUCGUAGGUGAACCUGCGGAAGGAUCAUUA